rnacentral:rRNA from 1 species
CAUGACAAGUCGAACGAUGAUCCCCAGCUUGCUGGGGUGAUUAGUGGCGAACGGGUGAGUAACACGUGAGUAACCUGCCCUUGACUCUGGGAUAAGCCUGGGAAACUGGGUCUAAUACCGGAUAUGACCGAUCACCGCAUGGUGUGUUGGUGGAAAGCUUUUGUGGUUUUGGAUGGACUCGCGGCCUAUCAGCUUGUUGGUGAGGUAAUGGCUCACCAAGGCGACGACGGGUAGCCGGCCUGAGAGGGUGACCGGCCACACUGGGACUGAGACACGGCCCAGACUCCUACGGGAGGCAGCAGUGGGGAAUAUUGCACAAUGGGCGCAAGCCUGAUGCAGCGACGCCGCGUGAUGGAUGAAGGCCUUCGGGUUGUAAACAUCUUUCAGUAGGGAAGAAGCGAAAGUGACGGUACCUGCAGAAGAAGCGCCGGCUAACUACGUGCCAGCAGCCGCGGUAAUACGUAGGGCGCAAGCGUUAUCCGGAAUUAUUGGGCGUAAAGAGCUCGUAGGCGGUUUGUCGCGUCUGCUGUGAAAGCCCGGGGCUCAACCCCGGGUCUGCAGUGGGUACGGGCAGACUAGAGUGCAGUAGGGGAGACUGGAAUUCCUGGUGUAGCGGUGAAAUGCGCAGAUAUCAGGAGGAACACCGAUGGCGAAGGCAGGUCUCUGGGCUGUAACUGACGCUGAGGAGCGAAAGCAUGGGGAGCGAACAGGAUUAGAUACCCUGGUAGUCCAUGCCGUAAACGUUGGGCACUAGGUGUGGGGGACAUUCCACGUUUUCCGCGCCGUAGCUAACGCAUUAAGUGCCCCGCCCUGGGGAGUACGGCCGCAAGGCUAAAACUCAAAGGAAUUGACGGGGGCCCGCACAAGCGGCGGAGCAUGCGGAUUAAUUCGAUGCAACGCGAAGAACCUUACCAAGGCUUGACAUGGAACCAGUAACGCUCAGAGAUGGCGCCCCACUUGUGGCC